UGUGUCUCUGUGUGUGUGUGUGUGUGUCUCGUGUCUGUGUGCAUCGCUGUGUGUGCCCAGUGUUUCUCCGUGGCACAGGGGAGGAAGCUUGCCCCGUGUGGGUGCCAGGCUUGCUGCCAGGUGCCGUGAGGCAGCACCCCCAGUGACAAGGCCCCAGGCCCGCCCCACAGCAGGUCCCUGGCAGGCGGACGCCAUGAAGGCCAAGGCCGUGCUCAGGGGGCCACGGCCUCCUCAGGACCUCCAGGAACAAAGAUCUCCGCAGUCGUCCGGCUGUCGCCAGCUGGAGGGACAGUCCAAGAGGCACAGACUCCAGGCUCUGCUCACACACCGGGCUCCCCAGGGCUUUCGAUACCGGUCCUGAGAACAGGACUGUUGGGAGCAGCUUUGCUUUUGUACCACUAGAUGUCACCCUGGCUGUGCCACAGGGGACUGAGAGGCCCUGGGCAGUUAGAGGGACUGAGAGGCCCCUGCACAGGCCACAGGGGAGAAGCCGUGGAGAGAGAGACGGGCUCCGACCUGGAAGCCUCACACACUUCCUGGGAAGCGGCUGGCAUGCGGCAAGAACUUCGGGAGUCUGGGAAACUCCCCAGGGAGCUGGGAUGCCGAGCCCGGCUCAAGACAGCCAACCCCGCUGUAAGCGGCCACUGUGGUCCAGAUGCUGUACAGAAGGCACCUAUUGUCAGUGCAGUUACAGUUGAAACCUACUCUGGAGGUGUGCUUUAUGAGCUCAGCAGAAGAAAGGAGGUCUGCGUUGGAGUCCGGGAAGUGGCCCCGCCCCUUCACCUCCCCUGGUGCUGCAGCUCCGUGGAAGGAUCCCGAGUGCCCCGCCCCCUGGGUCUGGCACCCUCACCAUCUGCUGCUACAAGGGGCCACUCUGGGGGCUGAGGUGGGGGGCCAUGGGGAGGGGGAGCAGCGGCCGGAAGGUGACCUGGAAGCCCUUGGUCCCUUCCCGUGGGUUUUAGCAGGGAGCCUGGCGCUGCUACUCGUCCCCUGGGAUGCUCAGGACUUCCCAAAGCUGUCACGGGGAGGGCUCGGUGACGGCAGCGGAGGACAAGUUCCCCUGCCACGAGCUUACCUGAGGGCGGCCGGGGAAGCCAGCAUCGCAGAGCUUGGUUUGCCGAAAGCCAGUCCAGCAGCCUGCACAGCGAAGGGGCAGACAUAUCCUACCGUCCCAGGAGAGAAGAGGAAGGAAGCAUCUCCAUUCUACACCGCGCGGCUGUAAAAUCUUCGUGGCUCUCAUUUCCUUGGGCUCCACUUGCAAGACCUUCACUCUUGCCUCCUCUUUUCUAGAGCACCUGUGUGCAGACAGGUGCAACAGGAUGCUGCAUCUGAGCACAGCCAAUGAAAAGACACUAUUUCUGAUCUUCAUUUACAUAUGGCAGGAAGCCCAGCAAGGUUUUUGAUGGGACAGUUUCUACGUGGUGUGACCCCAAAGGCCAAGGAAGACUCCCAAAGGGUCUGGUUCCUGUGGGGGGAGCAGGUGUGGGCUCUGGGAGAGGGGAACCCACAUAGAACGACUUUUCAGCUGCACAGGGCGCUGGGCAUUCUGCAUCCCGGUCCGGUCCAGUCCAGUACAGCAAGCGAGCAGGAAACGCAGUGCCAACAGCACUGGCUGAAGACUGAUAGGAGCACAUGGAACCCUUCUGCCUCAGAACCCACCACGUACACGACUGCUCAGUGAACUAUUUACGAGAGUUUCCCACUAGGGACAAAAUCCAACUUUACACAAAGAGACUUUAUACGGAGGAGCAGCGAUCCCCUGAUUUCCACGUGGUUUCUUUCUGGCUUCAGGCAUGUGACCUGCCUGUGUCACUGUGUGUCUAGCUCUUUCUUUAGACUUGUAGUACGCCAUCUAUCCUAGAGGAUUUGAGACACAAAGCUUCCGUGCCUAUGCAGAAAGUCACUGAAAGCUUAAACUCCUUGUGAAAAAAAAAAUCCAAAUCUAGUGAUACUGAAGGAAGAGGGGAAGGGAAAACUUGAAGAGGAAAAAUGAAA